rnacentral:lncRNA from 1 species
UGCUGCUUUUCUCCUUGAUCAAAAUGACACAUGUCUGUCCUUUCUGUCCAGGGAGUGCUCCACUGUGGAUAAGUAACGCCAGCAUCUUCACCCAUUCAUCUGUUGGUGGACCUACGGGCUGCUCCCACAACUCAGUGAAGAAGAAUUGCUUCAGAUGUUUCCUGUCGAGCUUUUCAUCUCCCUCCCUCCCUUCCUCGCUUCCUACCUUCCUUCCUGUCUCUUCCAUAGUACUUGCGACUGAGCUCGGGGCCUUUGGAGAUGAGCAUCAUAUUCCUCUAACAACUUAAGAAAUUGGGGAUCCUCAUUAAGAAGUGUCUUAGCCACUCUCCUAUGACUGGGACCAAAUACCUGACACCAACAACUUCAAGGAGCAGAGGUUUACUUCUUCUCAUGGGUUCCGUCCAUAGUGAGCUGCCUUGAUGGCAGCAGCAGCAUGGCUGAAGGGCCUGGUGGAAGAGAAGCUGCUGAACCCAUGGCAGCCAGGGAGCAGAGAGAGAAGGGAGGCGCUGGAGACAAGAACGCACCCUUCCAGGUCACGCCUCUGUGACCUCCUCCAGCCAGGCCACCUCCUGCAGCACAUUCAGCCCUGAACUCAUCCAUGAUGGAUGCGCUGAAUCCCAUGAUUCAUUGCCUUCUUCACACUUUGACUUUUGGGGGAAACUUUGAUCUAAAGUAAAGCAAGAAGUAAAGAAACUUCUCAGUCACAAA